ACAACUAACCCGUUUGUCCACCAUUCUAUGUUUUAAUGACUGACUUUAAAGUUGACCGCCUCAACAAAAAGUAUUCCAGUUUCCAAAACAACCAGUAUCCACUAAAAUGCCAUGCCUUAUCAAAACCAGCCAUAUAUCACAAUCCGUCAGAACACUCUUCUAAACCAUAUGAACCAUCAUAUUGCAACGUUUUAUUCCUCUGAGUCACUCUUUUUUCUCACAAACACUGCUUUUCUCUUAAUUUUCUCUAUAGUGCUUUCAACCUCUCUCUCUCUCUCUCUUCCUUUCUCGCUCCUUGAGCUAGGGGCGGUCCCGCUACGUACUAUACUUUUAAAGAUAAGAAGAUGAUGUUGAACAGAACAUGCCAUGAUAUAAGACAGCAUCAGAGGGAUUGUGAGCCAGAAUGUGUGCUCAUAAAUUAGUGGUCUGCAUGUCAACGGGACAUAUCUUUUACUUAUCUUGUAGAGGGGCUGUAUGUCAGAGUAAGACCCAUAAUAUCCCCCAAAACAAGAUAUUAAGUUUAUCUUUGUCGUCCAUACUGUGUUGGUAUUUACCUGGAAAGCUGUGACGUAACAACCCCCAUCACCUCCUACUCACACUGCCUCAUAGUGAUAAGCAAAUACUGAAAAACCACAAUUGGACGAUAUAAUAAUAAUAAUGCAUUACAUUUUUUAUUAGAGCGCUUUUACAGGUGCUCAAAGCGCUUUACAAUUACACAUUUCACAUAUCAGACAUGUAAGAGUCAUUACUGUGGAGUGUGGACAUUACCCACAGGAGAAAAUGCGGGUAAAGUGUCUUGCCCAAGGACACAACGGCCUGACAUGAUAUGAUAUGAAAAUAGAAACUGUCACCGAACCCUAAAGUGUGCUUAAUUUUCUCGGGAAAUCAAUUUGGCCGCACAUAUCCUACCAAUAUAUGCACAGGUCAUGACCCAAAUAGUAGGAAUCCUCUGGGCAGCAUGGUGAUCUGCUAUAGAUUUUUAGAAGAGUAUUAUGUUAAAGGAGACAAUUUGGCAUACAGGUUGCAAAAGGUCAACGGUUAGGUUUGGUUCGGUUUCUUAUCACUAUUUAAAGAGGGUUGCAUGGAUUAAGUAGCAUCCCAAGGACUCGUUCGAAAAUAACCCAAUGACUUACCGAUUUUGUUUAAAAGAAUAUAUUCUCCAAAUAUUAACACUGCUUUUUAACAAAAAAGUGUUGGUGUUGUUGCAGUGUUUAAGGCUUUAUUCAGUUUGCAUUUUUUAGCAAGAUGAGCACCUAAGGGCAGUGGCACCAGCAGGGGAGGGGGGGCCUUGGCCACCCUGAUAUAUUUGUUGGCCCCCCCCACUGGCCACCCCACACACACAGUCACGUAUGCGUAGUAGUUUAUCUGAUAUUUAACAACAAAUACACAGCCAGCGAGUCGCUUGAUUUGAGCUUCCAACGCUCAUACUGCAGCCCCUCCCUCUCCCACUGCUACCAUGGUAACACUCUGAUACUCUCGCGCACCACUCUGAAAUUUGCGGGCACAGAUAGCAGCAGGUUGCAACAAAACAUGUGUUUCUUUCUACUGACUGGACUGGAGUUGACAAAAAUCCACCAGACUUCUAGAAGGUAAGUCGUAUACGUUCGUUGUUAAUGAAAAGGAGCUGUGAGGAAUUGCAGUAUCUCCUUCUCCUUUUUUCUGUUUGUCUGUCUUCCUGGCUGGGCGUGGUUGACCUACUUUCCGUUUCCCGCCAACUCACCUCCGCUCCUGUUUCUCAUCAUCACUGAUUACCACUACUCACCUGCUGCUGCUUAAAACUCCGGUUCGAUCAUCAGACUUCGCCAGUUCUUCGUAUACUCAUAGUGAAACUCCAUAUUCCAUUCCGUCCUGCCACGUCCAGCCCAACCUCCGUCUCAGCCCUGCUCCACGUUCUUCCCACUCUCUUGAGAGUUUACUUUGUCUCCUGCCUGUUUUUUGAGGACUUAAAUAAAUCCAGUCUUUUUGACACUUCA